GUUUGAUCCUGGCUCAGAACGAACGCUGGCGGCAGGCCUAACACAUGCAAGUCGAGCGCGCCCUUCGGGGUGAGCGGCGGACGGGUUAGUAACGCGUGGGAACGUGCCCAGAUCUAAGGAAUAGCCACUGGAAACGGUGAGUAAUACCUUAUACGCCCUUCGGGGGAAAGAUUUAUCGGAUUUGGAUCGGCCCGCGUUAGAUUAGGUAGUUGGUGGGGUAAUGGCCUACCAAGCCUACGAUCUAUAGCUGGUUUUAGAGGAUGAUCAGCAACACUGGGACUGAGACACGGCCCAGACUCCUACGGGAGGCAGCAGCGGGGGGAAUCUUGGACAAUGGGGGGCAACCCUGAUCCAGCCAUGCCGCGUGAGUGAUGAAGGCCUUAGGGUCGUAAAGCUCUUUCGCCUGUGAUGAUAAUGACAGUAGCAGGUAAAGAAACCCCGGCUAACUCCGUG
rnacentral:rRNA from 1 species